rnacentral:rRNA from 1 species
CCUACGGGUGGCAGCAGUGGGGAAUAUUGGACAAUGGGGGGAACCCUGAUCCAGCGACGCCGCGUGAGCGAAGAAGUCUUUCGGUAUGUAAAGCUCUAUCAGCAGGGAAGAAAGUGAUGACGGUACCUGACUAAGAAGCCCCGGCUAACUACGUGCCAGCAGCCGCGGUAAUACGUAGGGGGGAAGCGUUAUCCGGAUUUACUGGGGGUAAAGGGAGCGUAGAGGGCGUUGCAAGUCUGAAGUGGAAUGCGGGGGGCCAAACCCCGGACUGCUUUGGAAACUGUAGGGCUGGAGUGCAGGAGAGGUAAGUGGAAUUCCUAGUGUAGCGGUGAAAUGCGUAGAUAUUAGGAGGAACACCAGUGGCGAAGGCGGCUUACUGGACUGUAACUGACGUUGAGGCUCGAAAGCGUGGGGAGCAAACAGGAUUAGAUACCCGGGUAGUC